rnacentral:hammerhead_ribozyme from 1 species
AUCCAAUUGACGAGUCCGAAAUAAGACGAAACGCACCUUCUGGAU